UUAGAUUCACGCACAAACUC
rnacentral:ncRNA from 3 species